AAACUCGCAAGAGAAGACGAUGUUAGCUACAUCCGGAGUGCUAAGACGGGUUUCAAGGGGCAUCCGAGAGGUCAGAGUAUAGAGUCCCCAUGGAGAGUGAGUCUGGCUGCUGCGCGCAAAGACCCGACAGCCCUUCCCUGAGUGGCGGCUCCGUGAUGGCUCUCAGUUUCUCUCGUCAUGUCCCUGGCAGCUUUGACACAGGGAGCAAAACAAGGACUCUGAGCUGCCACUGGGCACUGUGCUCAUUCAGGGCUUUCAGCCUUCAAGAGGACUGAAGUCCGCCUUUACGGAGUGCCUUCAUGAGAUCAGACACUGAUGUUGGAUGGAUGACCUUGUUCAAAAUCUCCUCUCUAGUCCACCCAGAAGGUGUUCCAACAGGUUGAGAUAAGGACUCUGUGCUGGAUGUAAAUAAGGCUUCAAUGCAGCUGCUUAUCUAUGGAAAACCAACUCCAUGCUCUGAGCUAACCUGAAAGCCACA